rnacentral:rRNA from 1 species
AGAGUUUGAUCCUGGCUCAGGACGAACGCUGGCGGCGUGCUUAACACAUGCAAGUCGAGCGAGGGGCACCUUCGGGUGUCACCUAGCGGCGAACGGGUGAGUAACACGUGGGCAACCUACCCUCAGCUCUGGGAUAACCCCCGGAAACGGGAGCUAAUACCGGAUAUGACCUCUUUGGACAUCCUUCGAGGUGGAAAGAAUUUCGGCUGAGGAUGGGCCCGCGGCCUAUCAGCUUGUUGGUGGGGUAAUGGCCUACCAAGGCGACGACGGGUAGCCGGCCUGAGAGGGCGACCGGCCACACUGGGACUGAGACACGGCCCAGACUCCUACGGGAGGCAGCAGUGGGGAAUAUUGCGCAAUGGGCGAAAGCCUGACGCAGCGACGCCGCGUGAGGGACGAAGGCCUUCGGGUUGUAAACCUCUUUCAGUAGGGACGAAGCGAAAGUGACGGUACCUACAGAAGAAGCGCCGGCCAACUACGUGCCAGCAGCCGCGGUAAUACGUAGGGCGCAAGCGUUGUCCGGAAUUAUUGGGCGUAAAGAGCUCGUAGGCGGUCUGUCACGUCGGUUGUGAAAACACAAGGCUCAACCUUGUGCCUGCAAUCGAUACGGGCAGACUAGAGUACUGCAGGGGAGACUGGAAUUCCUGGUGUAGCGGUGGAAUGCGCAGAUAUCAGGAGGAACACCGGUGGCGAAGGCGGGUCUCUGGGCAGUAACUGACGCUGAGGAGCGAAAGCGUGGGGAGCAAACAGGAUUAGAUACCCUAGUAGUCC